rnacentral:lncRNA from 1 species
UAUAGGUCUAAAACCAGCAGACAUUUCUGCACUCGAGCAUGUUCUAUGUAACACUCUCUCUCGUCUGCAGAUAGGAAAGAUGAGGUACGUUAGGGUGUCUCUUCCGAGGCAAGGUCCAGAACGCUAUCAGAGAGUUUACACCACUGACAUGGGCGACCUGAAGCCGGAGAGGAAAGGUUGGCUACGGUGUGGCGUUAAACCUGGAGAAGUGGAACCAGCUGAAGAAGAUAAUCCGAGACAUUGACACUGUGAUCCCGAAGAUCUAGACCCCCCACGGUGCCCAGUGAGCAGCCAUGACAGCCCAGAUCGAUUCCCCUCUACACAAGCGAACCUGUUGUCACUGACAGUAUAUCACUUUAUUUAAUCCACUGUUAAAUGGCUUUAACAUCCUGCAGAUAUGUUCAAUUAAAGCUCUUUGUUUUACAUUCCUCACUUUACAAAAUAGCUGUCUGUUCUGCAUUUAAAUUCUGUAUUGUUUUAUUUGUUAGUUGGCUUUAUAAGCCAUGGCUUUAGUUGCAAAGAACAGAUGUAUUUUCUGUGUAAGUGUUCUUGACAGCAUUUGUAAAUAGAGAGGACAAAUUAAUGAAGCCUAUAUGAAGUUAGUCGGGGUAGGUUUUUGUUAAAUAAUAGUAUGGUAGCCUGCACUAUCCAUUCAUCUUUGGAAAUGCAUACGUUUCUUGAAGUAACACACAGACUAAAAAACCUUUCUCCAUUAUUACUUUGCUCAUUUUCUCCCAUUAUCUGUUGAGUAAUCAGAUGCAUGGAUUAUGAUCUGAUCAUGGUUUUUAAUGGGGAAGAGCUGCUUUGGUGGUUCAGAAAUAUAUCCCACUAAUUACCAGACUGUAGACAGCAGUGGAAGCUGGUGGGAGGAGCUAUAGGAGGACAGGAUCAUUGUAAUGGCUGGAAUGGAAUUAAUGGAACGGUAUCAAACAUAUGGAAACACCAUGUUUGACUCUCCCAUUGAUUCCAUUCCAGCCAUUACAAUGAGCCUGUCCUCCUAUAGCUCCUCUCAUCAGCCUCCACUGGUAGAUAGUGUAAUGUUCAUUGUUACAUGCUGUUUGACACUGUAGUUAACUGAAGCCGCCUCUUAUAUUCCAGAAGAGAGAGCAAGAAGUCAAUGGAUUGAACACUGCAACUAACAAUGCAAGACCAUCAAGACAAUUAGCAAUAAAUGGGGACAAAAUAAAGGAAUGAUAGUAUGGAAAUAAAGUGGGAAGUUUUCACUUUGAGGGUAAUAGUAUGGAAAUAAAGUGGGAAGUUUUAACUUUGAGGGUAAUAGUAUGGAAAUAAAGUGGGAAGUUUUAACUUUGAGGGUGAUAGUAUGGAAAUAAAGUGGGAAGUUUUACACACAUAUUUAUUUGCAUCGAAAGAUGCUGCAGGUCUUGUCCUGGAGGUUUAAAGCAGUAUGUAGCCUAUUGGAAACAACGUGUAAGCAAAUAAAAAAAUAUUAAUUUAAAGGACAGUACCAUAUUGUAUCAUACAGUGCUCCACUGGUGUCAGAGUGGGAUGAAACUACUGAGAGGCCAUCAAAGGCAUGCCUGGCUGUAAGGGACUUGAGAUAAAGAAGCAUAGUGGCCUGUUUUCUGGAAGAAUUGGGUAGUUUAGAAAAGGAAGGAGGUGGCCCCAAACUUCUCCAAGCAGGUUGGGCAAUGCAAAGAAUUUGCACUCUGAUGGUGCAGUAUCAUACCGACAUCUGUGGGUGUCGCUCAAGAGCGGUGAAUGAAUAUGGCUCAAGAGCGGUGAAUAUGGCUAUCGCUUUCGUGUAGUCGUUCUCCCCCCAAUCAGCCCCUCUCUCUCGUACUAUGUUGUGUGCGAGUGUGUCGGAUUACCGUUCUCCUGGCAGCAGGAUAUUACACUUUUUUUUCCUUCAAAAUAAGAGUCCCCCUACAAAUACAUACUACUUUUUGGGAAUAUCGAUUUUCUUGGCGUGACUGUAGUAAAACAACUGUUUUUCAAAGUAUUGCAGCCACCUUUAAAAAAAGUGAUAAUUUGAUGUACUUUCAUUUUAAUAUUGUAUUAUUUAUAUCAGCAUUUCUUAAGAGAGUUUACACAAAUACUGGUAUGUUCAUAGGUAUUGUGUUGGUUAUAUUACAAAUAAUAUGUAAUUCAAAUUACUCAAUAGAGUCUACAAACCUUAAAUUGUGCUGUGCAAGGGGUUCAAUAUAGAGUGCUGGGGACUCCUUACUCCAUUCACUGCAAUGCAAUAGACUGUAGGACUAUAAAUUACAUAUUGGCUUAUAGAGAAAAAAACGACUCUGUGCUGAUGUAAAAGUGGGGUUGGGAAUACUCAGUAGGGUCUGUAGAAUCUAUAUAUGGUGUUAUUUCUUGGGGGACUGAGGUCUACAUACCCAGCAGCACUUUCUAAUUCCACCCAUUCCAGUGGUCCCAAUGCAAUACCAUGUAGGCC